rnacentral:rRNA from 1 species
UACGGAGGGUGCAAGCGUUAUCCGGAUUCACUGGGUUUAAAGGGAGCGUAGGUGGGCUGGUAAGUCAGUGGUAAAAUCUCCGGGCUUAACUCGGAAACUGCCGUUGAUACUAUCAGUCUUGAAUAUUGUGGAGGUAAGCGGAAUAUGUCAUGUAGCGGUGAAAUGCUUAGAUAUGACAUAGAACACCGAUAGCGAAGGCAGCUUGCUACACAAUUAUUGACACUGAGGCUCGAAAGCGUGGGGAUCAAACAGG